GACAGAGGGUGCAAACGUUGUUCGGAAUCACUGGGCGUAAAGCGCACGUAGGCGGAUCUUUAAGUCAGGGGUGAAAUCCCGGAGCUCAACUCCGGAACUGCCUUUGAUACUGGGGAUCUUGAGUCCGGGAGAGGUGAGUGGAACUCCUAGUGUAGAGGUGAAAUUCGUAGAUAUUAGGAAGAACACCAGUGGCGAAGGCGGCUCACUGGCCCGGAACUGACGCUGAGGUACGAAAGCGUGGGGAGCAAACAGG
rnacentral:rRNA from 1 species